UUAAAUAGCUGCMGUAUAAAUAACUGUACUAAGGUAGCAUAAUAAAUUGUUUUUUAAUUAAAAACUUGAAUGAAAGAUUUAAUGAAAAAUUAACUUUAUUUAUUUUAAAUUUUAAAUUUUUAUUUAAAUAAAAAAAUUUAAUUAAAUUAAAUAAACAAAAAGACCCUAAAAACUUUAUAUUUAAUUGGGGAAAUUAAAAAAAUUAAUUAAUUUUUUUAUUAACAAACAAUAAUUAUUGAAUAAAAUAAUUUUUUUUAAAUAAUUAAUUAAGUUACUUUAGGGAUAACAGUAUAA
rnacentral:rRNA from 1 species